CAGUCGCCACGGUAAUACGUAGGGUGCGAGCGUUAAUCGGAAUUACUGGGCGUAAAGCGUGCGCAGGCGGUUCGUUAAGACAGAUGUGAAAUCCCCGGGCUUAACCUGGGAACUGCAUUUGUGACUGACGGGCUAGAGUAUGGCAGAGGGGGGUAGAAUUCCACGUGUAGCAGUGAAAUGCGUAGAGAUGUGGAGGAAUACCGAUGGCGAAGGCAGCCCCCUGGGCCAAUACUGACGCUCAUGCACGAAAGCGUGGGGAGCAAACAGGAUUAGAUAGCCCGGUAGUCCCUGUCUCUUAUAC
rnacentral:rRNA from 1 species